UUAUCCGGAAUCACUGGGCGUAAAGCGUCUGCAGGUGGUUUCCUAAGUCCACUGUUAAACCUUGAGGCUCAACCUCAAAUCUGCAUUGGAAACUAGGAGACUUGAGUAUAGUAGGGGUAGAGGGAAUUUCCAGUGGAGCGGUGAAAUGCGUAGAUAUUGGAAAGAACACCGAUGGCGAAGGCACUCUACUGGGCUAUUACUGACACUCAGAGACGAAAGCUAGGGGAGCAAAUGGG
rnacentral:rRNA from 1 species